GAUGAACGCUGGCGGCGUGCUUGAUACAUGCAAGUCGAACGGAGAGUGUAGCAAUAUACUUUUAGUGGCGAACGGGUGAGUAACGCGUUGGUGACCUGCCCCGAAGCGAGGGAUAACAGUUCGAAAGAACUGCUAAUACCUCAUGUGAUCACCGGUUUUAGAAUCUGGUGAUUAAAGGUGAAAAUCACUUCGGGAGGGGCCUGCGUCCCAUCAGCUAGUUGGUAAGGUAAUGGCUUACCAAGGCGAUGACGGGUAGGGGACCUGAGAGGGUGGCCCCCCACAAUGGAACUGAAACACGGUCCAUACACCUACGGGUGGCAGCAGUAGGGAAUAUUGCAAAUGGGCGAAAGCCUGAUGUAGCAACGCCGCGUGUGCGAUGAAGGUCUUCGGAUUGUAAAGCACUUUUUUGGAGGGAUGAGGAAGGACAGUACCUCCAGAAUAAGCCUCGGCUAACUACGUG
rnacentral:rRNA from 1 species